CCUACGGGAGGCAGCAGUGAGGAAUAUUGGUCAAUGGGCGCGAGCCUGAACCAGCCAAGUAGCGUGAAGGAUGACUGCCCUACGGGUUGUAAACUUCUUUUAUAAAGGAAUAAAGUGAGGCACGUGUGCCUUUUUCUAUGUACUUUAUGAAUAAGGCACGGCUAACUCCGUGCCAGCAGCCGCGGUAAUACGGAGGAUCCGAGCGUUAUCCGGAUUUAUUGGGUUUAAAGGGAGCGUAGAUGGGUUGUUAAGUCAGUUGUGAAAGUUUGCGGCUCAACCGUAAAAUUGCAAUUGAUACUGGCGGUCUUGAGUACAGGUGAGGUAGGCGGAAUUCGUGGUGUAGCGGUGAAAUGCUUAGAUAUCACGAAGAACUCCGAUUGCGAAGGCAGCUUACUAAACUGCCACUGACGUUGAUGCUCGAAAGUGUGGGUAUCAAACAGGAUUAGAUACCCUUGUAGUC
rnacentral:rRNA from 1 species